UCUCCAGACUCCUACGGGAGGCAGCAGUGAGGAAUAUUGGUCAAUGGUCGGGAGACUGAACCAGCCAAGCCGCGUGAGGGAUGAAGGUACAGAGUCUCGUAAACCUCUUUUGUCAGGGAACAAAGGCGGGGACUAGUCCCCGGAUGAGGGUACCUGAAGAAAAAGCAUCGGCUAACUCCGUGCCAGCAGCCGCGGUAAUACGGAGGAUGCGAGCGUUAUCCGGAUUUAUUGGGUUUAAAGGGGGCGCAGGCGGCGUGUUAAGUCGGGGGAAAAGCCCGGGGCCGAACCCCGGGCGAGCCGUUGAAACUGGCUGUCUUGAGAUGUCGAGAGGUAUGCGGAAUGCGCAGUGUAGCGGUGAAAUGCUUAGAUAUUGCGCAGAACUCCGAUUGCGAAGGCAGCAUACCGGCGGCGAUCUGACGCUGAGGCACGAAAGCGUGGGUAUCGAACAGGAUUAGAUACCCCGGUAUC
rnacentral:rRNA from 1 species